CUCUCUCUCUCUCUCUCUCUCACUGAAAACUAGAAUUGUGUUUAGAUGUACUACAACUGCAUGCAUCAACUAAUGGUUUCAAAGGGGAAGGUUGGUUUUUCUGGUGCUUGGGUUUGACCAACACUAAUUUGUUGUUACUUUUAUAGUUUUGAGUUUCAUGUCUGUUCACUCAUUAUCAUAUGGCAGCUUUUCGUGAAGUUUAAAUAAAUGCCAUUGUAUUUGAUCAUUGGCGGACUGACACUUUCAAAUCUGUGCUGCAAUUUUUGUCCUCUCAAUUGCUUAUUUAUGUGCUUUUAACAUGCCAGAAA
rnacentral:misc_RNA from 1 species